UACGAGGGGGGCGAGCGUUGUUCGGAAUUAUUGGGCGUAAAGGGUGCGUAGGCGGUUCCGCAAGUCCUGUGUGAAAUCUUCGGGCUCAACUCGAAGUCUGCACGGGAAACUGCGGGGCUUGAGUGUGGGAGAGGUGAGUGGAAUUCCCGGUGUAGCGGUGAAAUGCGUAGAGAUCGGAAGGAACACCAGUGGCGAAGGCGGCUACCUGGACAAAUACUGACGCUGAUGCGCGAAAGCGUGGGGAUCAAACAGG
rnacentral:rRNA from 1 species